CAAUUAACUGACCCUUUUUUUCUUGUGUGGAUGUGUUCAUGGUUUUUCUGACACAGACUUCCUCUGCUUAUUUCUGUUAUUUUUUGGACAUUGUCACCUUAUUUUUGGAUAUUCUACUCUACCGGCUCCUGACUGAUUCAGCACAUCAGUGGGAGUGAGGCUUGCAAGAGCUGCCCUCUUGGCCUUGGAGCUGCUGUCAUAUCUCUGGCCUGCCAGCUAACCCCUCAGCGGGAAAUCAAAUACACUUAAUGGAGAGAGGAAACAUUACCACUGUAAUCGAACCUGGAAUGAGAUAAUACUUUCACCUUAUGGAGCCAUCAAGGGAAAUCAUUGUCCAGAAGAUGUGCUGUGUUGCACCAUCAGUUUCAGGCAGACGCAUUAGACCAGAUGUGGACACAUACUGCUGGGGCAGAA